UACGUAGGUCCCAAGCGUUGUCCGGAAUUACUGGGUGUAAAGGGUGCGCAGGCGGCCAUGUGCGUCAGAGGUGAAAUCUCCCUGCUCAACGGGGAGGGUGCCUUUGAAACGGCGUGGCUUGAGUGCGAGAGAGGGUGGUGGAAUUCCUGGUGUAGCAGUGAAAUGCGUAGAUAUCAGGAGGAACACCGGUGGCGAAGGCGGCCACCUGGCUCGCAACUGACGCUCAGGCACGAAAGUGCGGGUAGCAAACAGG
rnacentral:rRNA from 1 species